rnacentral:rRNA from 1 species
UACGAAGGUGGCGAAUGUUGCUCGGAUUCACUGGGCGUAAAGCGUCUGUAGGUGGUUUUGUAAGUUAGAGGUGAAAGCCCCGCGCUCAACGUGGGAAUUGCCUUUAAAACUGCAUGACUUGAAGAUAUGAGAGGAUGGCGGAAUGACUGGUGUAGAGGUGAAAUUCGUAGAUAUCAGUCGGAACACCCAUGGCGAAGGCAGCUAUCUGGCAUAUUCUUGACACUGAGGGACGAAAGCGUGGGGAGCAAACAGG